GGGUUUAUUAAUUAAAAUUAAAUAAUUUUUUAAUUUCUCGAAUUUUAAAGAGUUAUUAUUAUAUAAUUUUUAUUGUAAAAUAAAUAUUAUUAAUAUAAUAAUGGAAGCGAAACACUAUUCGAUUUAUAAUAUAUCUAGUUUUUUAAGAAAAAAAUUUAAUUUUAUUUUUAUAUGAUUAUUGUAUUAAUUUAUUAAUAUUAUAAUAAUAAAAUUUUAUAUAUAAGGGGAUGAGCUUUUAUGUAUAUGAAUAUAAUUUAUACCAGAAUUUUUAGUAAGUAGAAUUAUAAGUUUUUACCUUUUAUAGUGUUUUAUAACUAACUAAUUUAUAAAGAAAAUUUUUAUUUAAAUUUAUUUUUUUUAUUAAAAUUUAAAUUUUAAUAUUUUAAAUUUAGAAAUAAUGAUUAAAUUAGUAUAGAAUUUUGUUUAUUAAUUUUAAAUUAUAAGGUUUAAUAAAUUAACUCGGCAAAUAUAUUUUUCACCUGUUUAUUAAAAACAUGGCCUUUUGACAAUAAUUUAAGGUCUUACCUGCCCAAUGAUUAAAUUUAUUUAAGGGGCCGCAGUAAUUUGACCGUGC
rnacentral:rRNA from 1 species